rnacentral:piRNA from 1 species
CCUGGUCGUCUUGUUAACAUUGUCUAGAG